UCCCUUAUCCACACCCAGAGCCCCCUGCUGUCCACUGUGGAAGCCGUGACCGUGCUUGGCAGCAGAGUGGGCUUCCUGAUUGUUUGUAGGAAGCCAAUGUCGGUAGACAAGCCUGCUCCAGGUAGCUGUGAGGGCCGACAGCAGGCAGUCGCCAGUCUGGUGUAGUCAGGAGCAGCUCUGGAAAAGCUCUGAGUGCCGAGAGCAGCAUGGACCGGCGUGGUCUGCUCUUGGCAGUUGGAGCCCGAGUUUGAGAUUUAGAGUUUGUCCAAAAUAAUUUCUGAACAUGUCAGAGUUGCCAGACCUGUUCCUUCUGCUUUCAAAAGUAUUUUAAGGGUCCGCGUAGUACCUAAUGGCUCUUUCUUCCCAAGCCUUAGUUAAGCGAUUUUUAAUAUGAGCAGCUGCUCUGAAGUGUCACAGUCCCCACAGGUAGAUUUUGUGACAGUGAGAGAAUCAGCCAGAGGUCACCUCCACCCUCUGAUAACAUUUUCGGGCAAGUGCGGCUGGUCAAGGAGGGACAGACGCUCUGCUUUUUGCGCCUCCCUCCCUGCCGCCCGGUGGGAGAACUCUGCGCAUGCGCAGGCCAGGCAGCUUCUGAGGAGGGGGAGGGGAGGAGCGUCCCACUGACCUGCUGCCCCCCUCCCCCCCGACGGUUCAAGAUUAGCCUGGGGUGGUGAUCGGGCUGCCUGGGAAUAGAAGGGGGGAAACCAGCCGGCUGACACUACUUUCUCUUCCCCUCAGGAACGGGUGGUGGGCUUCCACAUACUGGGGCCCAACGCUGGAGAAGUCACCCAGGGCUUCGCGGCCGCGCUCAAGUGCGGGCUGACCAAGAGGCAGCUGGACAGCACGAUCGGGAUCCACCCCGUGUGUGCAGAGAUCUUCAUGACGCUGUCGGUGACCAAGCGCUCCGGGGGCAGCAUCCUCCAGUCCGGCUGCUGAGGCUAAGCCCCGGUGCGGGUGCCGCCGACUCCGAGCCACCGGCCGGGCCUGGGAAGGCACCGGGCCUGGCCGGCCACGGAGGCGCCAUCGCACCGCACCGGGGUCGAGAACUCGAGGCUCACCAAUUUAUUUUUGCUUUUGUUAUUCAAGCUUCGUGUGUCACAUUCAAAAAUCACUUUGAGUCUAAUCUUGUAUUAGUUAGCUCUGGGACACAAUAAUUGAAACCCACAAUUUAAAGGAAAAGAAGUUUAAGUUAGCUCACGGAUUUUGGCAUUUAGUCCAUGCUGGCUAGCUAGCUCCAAGGCAGGAACAUUAUGGUGGCUGGAAAGCAGACACUGGGAGCAGUAUCCAGGAGAAAAGGGCCAGGGAAAAAUGUAACACCAAAGUCAGCCUUCCAUGACCCAGGCAGACACAACAAGAAGUGUGCUCCCCCAAGGCCCUGGGCAGCUCCUAACCCAACCAAGGUGACACGAUGAAGCUUUGCCAUCACAACAUCAAGCAGCUUAUCCCCAUGUUUUCUUCCAAAAGGAGAGAUGAUGGAGCCUCUAAGCAGAGAACUGGGUUUUUCAAUGUCAGUGACCAACACAAGAUGCCCAGGAUGCCUGCCUUACCAUUCUGGUAAAAUCUGAACUGGUAGAAGCCAGGGCGAGCAACUCUGUCCUUUGAAACAUUAAAAUGGGGAGCAGAUAUAUGAAAAAUGCUAAUUAUUAACCAUCAGAGAAAUGCAAAUCAAAGCCACAGAGACAUAUCACCUCAUAUAAUAAUGGCUAUAAUAAAAAAUAUAUAUCAAGUGCUCCAAGAAUAUGAAGAAGUAGAAAAGUGUUCACCAUUUUUGAGGAUAAUAUGGAUUCAUACACUCAUCAUGGAAAACAGUAUGGAGGUGCCCCAAUGCAUGACAAUUAUAGUUACUAUAUGACCCAGCCAUCUCACUCCUGGGGCUAUGGCCAAGGGAAAUGAAAUUUAUAUAUCCAAGAGACAUAUGUGCCACCACACUUAUUGCAGCACUCUUCACAAUAGCCAAGAAGGGCUGGGGAUGUAGCUCAGUGGCACUGUGCCUGCCUUGUAAGCACAAGGUCCUGGGUUCCAUCCCUGGUACUGGAAAAAAACAAAACAAAAACAAAAUAAGAAAACUAUAGCCACAAAAUUUAAACAAUCCAAAGUGUGUAUCAAAUGACUCAAAUGAUGAAUGCUAGAAGAACAUGUAUAAACUCAAUGGAAUUCUAUUCACCCAUAAAGAAUGGAACUCUGUCAUGUGCAAUAACAGGCAGGUCAUUCUGUUUAAAGAAAUAAACCAGGCACAGAAAGAUGA